rnacentral:rRNA from 1 species
UACGGAGGGUGCAAGCGUUAUCCGGAUUUACUGGGUUUAAAGGGCUCGUAGGCGGUCUGUUGCGUCGGGAGUGAAAACUUACAGCUUAACUGUGAGCGUGCUUUCGAUACGGGCAGACUUGAGGCAUUCAGGGGAGAACGGAAUUCCUGGUGUAGCGGUGAAAUGCGCAGAUAUCAGGAGGAACACCGGUGGCGAAGGCGGUUCUCUGGGCCUUACCUGACGCUGAGGAGCGAAAGCGUGGGGAGCGAACAGG